GUCUAUGGCCAUACCAUCCUGAACGCGCCUGAUCUCAUCUGAUCUUGGAAACUAAGCAGGGUCAGGCCUGGUUAGUACUUGGAUGGGAGAAUGCAUUAAGAAUGCUUAAACA
ensembl:rRNA 5S_rRNA 5S ribosomal RNA